UUAGCCUUUAAUCCACCCUUUAUCCUCCUCCUAGGAAACCUACACAACACCACAAGAACACAUCAAAAACACCACAUACUUGAGGCCAAAUCAUCAAUUUAAGUCGAAACGAAGGCAUUCCAAGUGGAUAUAAAAUCCACUUAUCACACCCCCAAACUUAAACCGAUGCUUGUCCUCAAGCAUAGACACACACACAAACUACUAAUGCAAUGCAUGAAUGCAACUAUAUGCCUACGUCUACUCGAAUCAUGAAGUGUCAUCCGUGUUAACAUAGAAUCCUCAGAAUAUGCAACAUUCUCAGCAUUCAUCUCUUUCACACAUUAGCCAUGUUCUCUUCCACUACAAGUGUGAAGUGCAUCGUGUGUGCUAGCAUGCUCUCUAGUGAAACAAAACAAAGACUAUCAAACUUCAACAGAGUCCUCACUAUGAGCCGUUAAUCAGAAUCAGGCUUAAACACUUCUUUACUAAAAAGUCAACUACAAUUUAGGGUCACUAAAGAACUCCCAUGCCUUCCUAUUUUUUUUUUUCUAUUUUUUCUUUCUUUUUCUUGCUAAGUCUAAGGUUGGGACGCUUCUCAGUGUAAGUGAGUCACGACCUCCAUUCGACUUCGCUAAUUCUUCUUUUUUUCUUUUUUUUAAUCAAGUAUUUCUCCAGUAAUCAAGGGUUGUGAAAAGUCACCAAGAAAAUGCUUAUUCUAAUACAUUUGCACUUAAUACCAGCACAAGUACAUGGAUCGUCCCUUUCACAUGACAUUGCAUUUUACCCAUUGAUCUCAAAGGAGUACCCGAUAAUUUUUAUUCUUUUUUUUUCCCUCUUUUUUUUCUCUUUUUUUUAGAAAGGCAUAUUCAUCCCUUAACUCCCCCAAACUUAAGAUUUACAAACUCUAAGUUCAAAAGGGGAAUAAUCCUAAUUCUACGCCCGACUCAACGCAAGGACUCAAGAAAUAAGUUAGUCUAAGUCUUAUCUCUAGAGCAUAAGUGUAAUUACAAUUUUCACACAAGCAGUUUCCAAGAAACAAGGCAUCACAUAUGAUCGAAACUACUAGCCAAGAAAUUAUGCACAUAACC
rnacentral:lncRNA from 1 species